rnacentral:rRNA from 1 species
CCUACGGGCGGCAGCAGUGAGGAAUAUUGGUCAAUGGGCUUACGCCUGAACCAGCCAAGUCGCGUGAGGGAAGACUGCCCUAUGGGUUGUAAACCUCUUUUGUCAGGGAGCAAUUGGCGCUACGUGUAGCGUUAUCGAGAGUACCUGAAGAAAAAGCAUCGGCUAACUCCGUGCCAGCAGCCGCGGUAAUACGGAGGAUGCGAGCGUUAUCCGGAUUGAUUGGGUUUAAAGGGUGCGUAGGCGGAAUGCCAAGUCAGCGGUAAAAUCGCGGGGCUCAACCUCGCUCCGCCGUUGAAACUGGCGUUCUUGAGUGGGCGAGAAGUAUGCGGAAUGCGUGGUGUAGCGGUGAAAUGCAUAGAUAUCACGCAGAACUCCGAUUGCGAAGGCAGCAUACCGGCGCCCAACUGACGCUGAAGCACGAAAGCGUGGGUAUCGAACAGGAUUAGAUACCCUUGUAGUC